AAUGAGUUUGGAACUCAGCGUCAGUUCCUCCAACUCCAAAUGCAACGCUCUUUCUGCUGCCACAUGUAAACGCUGGUCCCAAGAAGGCAGCUAUAACUGGGCACUGGUAACAGAGAGGCAAGACUUUAAAAGAUGGAAGAUGGUCAGAGAGUGGAUUCCCAGGAAAAUCCCUUUGCUGCAGGUGAAUGGGAGCAACUUCACCGCCCACCUGCAACCCCUCUGAGUAAAACAAAUCUCAGUUCUAAAGCAAGAUUCCAAAUCGAAGGGCGCCGGCACGCUCUGAGAACAUCAGGCCCGGAGGACCUGUUCAGCUCACCCGAACAAUGCCAACAUUGAAGCCCUCGGUUGGAGUCUGCACAGUUGGAGAUCUUUGGUGCCAUUUUAGACAUCUUUGGAUUUCAUCAAUCAAACUGACUGCAAUUUUCCAUAAAAACCCUGAAUUUGGGUCAGAAAGUGGGCAAAGUAGAUAAAGAUCAUUCGAGCUGUCUUAUAAGAUGAUAAAUAGAUAUCCUUUCAGGCCAACAAUGCCAAAGUGCAGUUUUGUGAUUCUCUUCCAUGGGUUUUGAAUGCAGUGAGUCGAAACGAUUUAUACAUGUUUUCCCAUGGUUUAGGGGGUGUCUUUACAUACUUGUCAAUAGUAGCCUGACCUUUUUUCCCACUGUGUUGCCAAGUGUGUUAUUUGAGUAUUUUUAUCGUGGUGUGAGUGUGUGUUUCCGCCAAAACACAGAAGAAAAGAAAACCUUUAAAAACUGUUCAAAUUAACAGAAUGUGGGCCUGAUCUCGAUACUUUUCUGUAACUAGACUGAUUGCAGAAGGCCAUGAGUUGGUGUUGAAAUUUCAUUUGCUUUGUGGUUGCUGCUAAGGCACUUUGGGCACCAUUUUGGACACCAUGCUGGGAUGUGAAUGCAUUUUCUUAAGAGCAGCAGCAGCAGCAGCAACAACAACAACAACAACCACUGACAACUAUGUCCUUGUUGUUGAACUUGACGAAUGGACUUUUUCUAUAAGGUGAAUUAAAGGAAACACUAAAAGAAACAGCAGAAGGAAACCACAAAAGGAUAUUAACCCAAUAUCUCCAGAGAACUUUCAGAAUAUUAGAUGAAAUGAUUUCUUAGCAAACAAUCUUUUGUACCUUUCUUCAUUAUUAAAAGUUAUCUGUUUA